GGUUAAGCGACUAAGCGUACACGGUGGAUGCCCUGGCAGUCAGAGGCGAUGAAGGACGUGCUAAUCUGCGAAAAGCGCCGGCGAGGUGAUAUGAACCUUUGACCCGGCGAUGUCCGAAUGGGGAAACCCAGUGCAAUUCGUUGCACUAUCGUUAACUGAAUACAUAGGUUAACGAGGCGAACCGGGGGAACUGAAACAUCUAAGUACCCCGAGGAAAAGAAAUCAACCGAGAUUCCCCCAGUAGCGGCGAGCGAACGGGGAGCAGCCCAGAGUCUGAAUCAGCUUGUGUGUUAGUGGAAGCGUCUGGAAAGUCGCAGGGUACAGGGUGAUACUCCCGUACACGAAAGCACACUUGCUGUGAACUCGAAGAGUAGGGCGGGACACGUGGUAUCCUGUCUGAAUAUGGGGGGACCAUCCUCCAAGGCUAAAUACUCCUGACUGACCGAUAGUGAACCAGUACCGUGAGGGAAAGGCGAAAAGAACCCCGGCGAGGGGAGUGAAAAAGAACCUGAAACCGUGUACGUACAAGCAGUGGGAGCACCUUCGGGUGUGACUGCGUACCUUUUGUAUAAUGGGUCAGCGACUUAUAUUCUGUAGCAAGGUUAACCGUAUAGGGGAGCCGAAGGGAAACCGAGUCUUAACUGGGCGUUAAGUUGCAGGGUAUAGACCCGAAACCCGGUGAUCUAGCCAUGGGCAGGUUGAAGGUUGGGUAACACUAACUGGAGGACCGAACCGACUAAUGUUGAAAAAUUAGCGGAUGACUUGUGGCUGGGGGUGAAAGGCCAAUCAAACCGGGAGAUAGCUGGUUCUCCCCGAAAGCUAUUUAGGUAGCGCCUCGUGAACUCAUCUUCGGGGGUAGAGCACUGUUUCGGCUAGGGGGCCAUCCCGGCUUACCAACCCGAUGCAAACUACGAAUACCGAAGAAUGUUAUCACGGGAGACACACGGCGGGUGCUAACGUCCGUCGUGAAGAGGGAAACAACCCAGACCGCCAGCUAAGGUCCCAAAGUCAUGGUUAAGUGGGAAACGAUGUGGGAAGGCCCAGACAGCCAGGAUGUUGGCUUAGAAGCAGCCAUCAUUUAAAGAAAGCGUAAUAGCUCACUGGUCGAGUCGGCCUGCGCGGAAGAUGUAACGGGGCUAAACCAUGCACCGAAGCUGCGGCAGCGACACUAUGUGUUGUUGGGUAGGGGAGCGUUCUGUAAGCCGUUGAAGGUGACCUGUGAGGGUUGCUGGAGGUAUCAGAAGUGCGAAUGCUGACAUAAGUAACGAUAAAGCGGGUGAAAAGCCCGCUCGCCGGAAGACCAAGGGUUCCUGUCCAACGUUAAUCGGGGCAGGGUGAGUCGACCCCUAAGGCGAGGCCGAAAGGCGUAGUCGAUGGGAAACAGGUUAAUAUUCCUGUACUUGGUGUUACUGCGAAGGGGGGACGGAGAAGGCUAUGUUAGCCGGGCGACGGUUGUCCCGGUUUAAGCAUGUAGGCGGAGGUUCCAGGUAAAUCCGGUACCUUUUUAACGCUGAGGUGUGAUGACGAGGCACUACGGUGCUGAAGUAACAAAUGCCCUGCUUCCAGGAAAAGCCUCUAAGCAUCAGGUAACAUCAAAUCGUACCCCAAACCGACACAGGUGGUCAGGUAGAGAAUACCAAGGCGCUUGAGAGAACUCGGGUGAAGGAACUAGGCAAAAUGGUGCCGUAACUUCGGGAGAAGGCACGCUGAUAUGUAGGUGAAGCCCCUGCGGGUGGAGCUGAAAUCAGUCGAAGAUACCAGCUGGCUGCAACUGUUUAUUAAAAACACAGCACUGUGCAAACACGAAAGUGGACGUAUACGGUGUGACGCCUGCCCGGUGCCGGAAGGUUAAUUGAUGGGGUUAGCGGUAACGCGAAGCUCUUGAUCGAAGCCCCGGUAAACGGCGGCCGUAACUAUAACGGUCCUAAGGUAGCGAAAUUCCUUGUCGGGUAAGUUCCGACCUGCACGAAUGGCGUAAUGAUGGCCAGGCUGUCUCCACCCGAGACUCAGUGAAAUUGAACUCGCUGUGAAGAUGCAGUGUACCCGCGGCAAGACGGAAAGACCCCGUGAACCUUUACUAUAGCUUGACACUGAACACUGGUCCUUGAUGUGUAGGAUAGGUGGGAGGCUUUGAAGCGUGGACGCCAGUCUGCGUGGAGCCAACCUUGAAAUACCACCCUUUAAUGGCUGGUGUUCUAACGUAGACCCGUGAUCCGGGUUGCGGACAGUGUCUGGUGGGUAGUUUGACUGGGGCGGUCUCCUCCCAAAGAGUAACGGAGGAGCACGAAGGUUAGCUAAUCCUGGUCGGACAUCAGGAGGUUAGUGCAAUGGCAUAAGCUAGCUUGACUGCGAGAGUGACGGCUCGAGCAGGUGCGAAAGCAGGUCAUAGUGAUCCGGUGGUUCUGAAUGGAAGGGCCAUCGCUCAACGGAUAAAAGGUACUCCGGGGAUAACAGGCUGAUACCGCCCAAGAGUUCAUAUCGACGGCGGUGUUUGGCACCUCGAUGUCGGCUCAUCACAUCCUGGGGCUGAAGUAGGUCCCAAGGGUAUGGCUGUUCGCCAUUUAAAGUGGUACGCGAGCUGGGUUUAGAACGUCGUGAGACAGUUCGGUCCCUAUCUGCCGUGGGCGCUGGAGAAUUGAGGGGGGCUGCUCCUAGUACGAGAGGACCGGAGUGGACGCAUCACUGGUGUUCGGGUUGUCAUGCCAAUGGCACUGCCCGGUAGCUAAAUGCGGAAGAGAUAAGUGCUGAAAGCAUCUAAGCACGAAACUUGCCCCGAGAUGAGUUCUCCCUGAGACUUAAAGUCUCCUGAAGGAACGUUGAAGACGACGACGUUGAUAGGUCGGGUGUGUAAGCGCAGCGAUGCGUUGAGCUAACCGAUACUAAUGAACCGUGAGGCUUAACCUU
rnacentral:rRNA from 1 species